UUCGUCCUAAGCGAGAGACUUACAGCAGCUAGGGUUCCAACCACCGCCGUCCUUUGCCCUCAACCGCCUCCCCUGUUCCCUCGGUACGUUCAAGAGCCUCCGCCAAGCCCUCCUCCCUCACCAGUUUCUCCGCGCGUCUGGGACGCACUCGACGUCGUCGCCCAUCCUCCUCGCGUUGGGGAACGCGUCGCCGCCGUCGAUUCAUCCGCAUGACCGGAGAUGCAGACGCCGGCGUUGUUCAUGCACAAUCCACACAGCCAGGAACGACGCAAGCACCGACGCCCCCGUCUUCCUCACACUGCAGUAGUUCAGCAGGUCCUAUUCUGCCUCCCCGCAUCUGUACUUGUAUUAUGUAAAAGUAAUAUUCCCCGAUGUCCUCGCCCAUCCUUGUUUUUCCUUGCCGGCCGCAUCUUACAAGUUACAACACCAAUGGACCACAUCCUCAUUGAUGAUUUUACCUGCCUGCGUAGCUGCACAUAUUGAUUUAAAACCUAAGAUUUCCUAUUUUACGCGCAUCACUGAAGGGAACCGUUUAACUGACACAUAAGUUUUUUGUUGACAUAAAUGCAGGAUUCUUCUACCCCAAACGAUGAACAAGAGAUGAUUUCUGCAGAGAGACAACAAGUUCAGAACCUGUAUGGUAUUUUGCUUAGUGUGUCCCCUGCUCUCUCUCUCUCUCUACGUAAAUAUUGUGCUCAUGUUUUUGUAUAUAAUGCAGGUUUGCUAAGGAAAUGACCAUAAUUUCGUGGUCAACCAAAAAGGCAUCUAUUCUUCAUCCCUUGAUCUCCCAGCUAUUCAUGAUGGUUCUAAUUCAUUUACAUUCAAGCCUCAUAAUGCUACUUUUAAGCCUCAUAACAAUCAGUUAAGUGUAAGACAAAAACCAUGUAGAAAAGCCAGUUCAACAACCUUUUUCGCCAAGCUUAUACUUGAAUGGGCUGAUGCAUGUAGAUGUGAUAUGUAAUUUUAGUAAGAUGGGAACAUGACGAUUGAUGUUUCAAGUGAUGAUAAUGCAUAGGGACUGGAGGCGUGGUUUGAGGCGGCAGUUAACCGUACAAUUUUCACGAAGAAUGAUUGUGUACAUUUUUACUCAAUACUCAUUUCUUGUGAUGCAUUAGGUUUUAAUUUUCUUGCUGCUAUGUGUGUGGAUCAAUCCUUACUCAUUUUCAUGCCGCUUGUGGUCUGAGUCCUUAUCUCUGCUUGGGGUGACGCUGCAAGAUCAGACGGAAACCUGACUUAUUAUGGUAGGCUCAGUCUCGUAUGUUCUUUUACCCCGCAGCUAAUCAAUUAUUCUGUGAUGUCCUCUCUUGUAUUCUAAUUAUGGCAUGCUCUUGUCUAUACUAAUUAGAUCAUGCAUUCCUUCAAGGUCAAGUCAGGGGCUUAGGGUAGACAGUUCAUAGUUUUCUUGCUAUUUCGUCUUUCUGUGUGUUACUUCAUUAUGCACGUCUUCUUUCUAUGCAUGUGUUGAUAACUCCAGUUCCAAUCUGAUGAUGCUUUUUUUUCGUGUUGUUGCUUCUGCAGGUUCUGAGAAUUUUACAUGGAUCAGGAAAUUCUAAUGUUUGACUUUGUAGUACUCAGGUAACAAUGACGUUUUGUGUAAUGUAGAUUAUUUAAAGAUUUUUGAUUUGAUAGCACUGAGAUUUCUCCUAAUACACCAUAGCAAGCAUGACUAAUAAAUCGUCCCAAGAAUGGGUAGUACAGGAGUGAUGUGCCCCAAAGCUAAUUAGUGCAGAGACCAUUGGAAAAUAGAAAUAUUGAAUUGUGUAUAGUUGGUAUAACUAGUCACCUAGAAUACUUAUCAUUUAGUCGGUUGCUGAAUUCAUCUCACUAUUAAUAUUAAUAUAAUUUUGGAUAAUUUUUGGUAGUAAACACAAGCUGAUGGUUGUUCACAAUGAAUAGCUACGUACGAUUGGUCAAAGGUACUCGGUGUUUUAAUACAUAGUUUUUAUCUUAAAGAGCCAUGGGUAUUCAGAACAUGUGCAUGACAAUUAAGAGAGAAAUAGAAUGUCCUCGGUUUACAAAGUAAGGGUGAAGACCCGGAGUCUCUGUGUUUGUACUUCAUAGCAUGGCAAUCACCCUUUCGCUAGUUCGUAUUUUGUUAUUUCUUUAUAGAGCGAUGCUACUGAUGUUGCAAGUAUCUGCACUUUCCACUUCUGCAUUUUGGUCUUUUUUAUAAAAAAUAGACUGGAACACUAAAACUAUAUAAUGAUAGUUCAUAUAGUUUUGAAUUUAUGCGAGAUGCAAAAAAAGUUAGUACAUGGAUAUAGGGCAUAAUCAUGUUGUUUAAUAAUUGUUGUAGAUGUUUUUAUAACCAGAUUAUUAAUUAUCCCACCUCUAUGUACAAAUCUAAGUUUUGGUAAAAAACAUUUGUAUGGUGCUCCUUUAAAUUUUACUUCUAUAUUAAUCUAAUUUACUUUACUAUAAUUGCUCGCCUCAUAUUGUUAUUUUGUAGAUUACCAAGAUAAAUUGAGGAUGCAUGACUCAGAUUUUGAUUGCAAGGCUAAGAAGAUUUUGAUUCCGAGGCAAAUAAUUCGGCUACAAGUCAAUUAGAAUGUAAUUUUUAGUAUCAAUGUUACAAACAUUAUAGUUGAUGGCAAGGUCAAGAAUUGGCCUACUACUAGAUAGUUUCACCUCUUGUAAUCUUUGGACCAUGUUCUUUGUAAUGCCACAUAUUUGAUUUAAUAUAUGAGAUUGGAUUGUUUAUUAUAUUGCGGCUCCUAUGCACUAUUGGUGUUGAACUAAUAAUUUUGG
rnacentral:lncRNA from 1 species